UACGUAGGGUGCAAGCGUUGUCCGGAAUUAUUGGGCGUAAAGAGCUCGUAGGCGGUUUGUCGCGUCGGCUGUGAAAACUCGGGGCUCAACCCCGAGCCUGCAAUCGAUACGGGCAGACUAGAGUGCUGUAGGGGAGACUGGAAUUCCUGGUGUAGCGGUGAAAUGCGCAGAUAUCAGGAGGAACACCAAUGGCGAAGGCAGCUCGCUGGAACGGUACUGACGCUGAGGCGCGAAAGCGUGGGGAGCGAACAGG
rnacentral:rRNA from 1 species